UGGGAGUUGAGAAGGUGAGGCAACUUUUCACAUGUUGCUUUUUACUGGUUGCAUCUCCCAACAUCAAACUGGAUGCACAGGAAAUUGGUGCUUGCUUUUGUUUUCUUUAUAUUUCUGUGAGUAAGAUGAUUGCUUGUGCAUACAUA